rnacentral:lncRNA from 1 species
GUGUUUGCUGUUGUGAAUAGUACUGCAAUGAACAUGUGGGUACAUAUGUCUUUAUGACAGAAUGAUUUAUAUUCCUUUAGGUAUAUAUCCUGUAAUGCAAUUACUCAGUUGAAUGAUAUUUCCGCCUUUAGGUCUUGGAGGAAUUACCACCCUAUCUUUCACAAUGGUGGAACUAAUUUAUACUCCCACCAACAGUAUCUUUUCCAGGUUGGGUGUCGUGGCUCGCAUCUGAAAUUCCAGCACUUUGAGAAGCUGAGGCAGGAGGUCUUUUUGAGUCCAGGAGUUCAAACCCAGUCUGGGAAACAUGGUAAGACUCUCUACAAAAAAAUAUGGAAAACAGCUGGGAGCAGCAGUGCAUUGCUGUAGUCCCAGCUCCUCCGGAGGCUGAGGUAAGAGGAUCCCUUAAGCCUGCAGUAAGCUGUGAGCAUGCCAUUGCACUCCAGUCUGGGUGACAGAGUGAGACCCUGUUUUAAAAAGAAAAAAAUAUAUCUUUUCCCAAAAGUUAGAGGAGAAAACACUUCCUAACUCAUUCUGUAAGGCCAGCAUCAGAGCUGCACAGAAAGACACUACAAAAAAGUAAACUACAAACCCUUAUCUUUGAUGAAAACAAUCCUUAAAAAAAGGGAUUAUACACAAUGAUCAGUGAGAUUAUGUUCUUAAAUACAAGACUGAUUCAACAUACAAAAUUCCAUUGUUGUAACAACAGAUUAAGAAAUGAAUGAAUAAAAGCCACAUGAAUAUCUUAACUGUUACAAAAAUAACAUGUUAUAAAAGUCGACAUCCUUAUGAUUAAAACACUCAGCAAACUAUAACUGGAAGGAAGUUGUCUCCACAUAACAAAUUAUACAUAAAAAAUCCACAGCAAACAUCAUACUCAAUGGAGAAAGAGUGAAAAUUUUCCUUCUAAGAUCAGGACCAAGGAAAAGAUGAUCACUAGUACCACUACUCUGAAAUAGUACUCAAGUUUUAGCCAGAACAAUUAGUAAUUAAAAAUAAAAAUCAAAAGGCUCCAAAUUACAAAGGAGUAAGUAAAAUUAUCUCUGCAGAUAAGAUAAUCUGGCAUAUGCAAAAAAGCCGAGAACAAACGAAUUCAGUGAAGUAGCAGGCUGAUACAAGCCAGCACACAGAAAUCAUGCUAACAAUGAAAAUCUGAAAAGGUAAUUAUAAAAAUA